rnacentral:lncRNA from 1 species
GUGGAGAUUUAUUUACGCGAGGAUAUCACAAGCCCAGUAGUCAGCACGUUUUGUGCUGACAUAAAUUGUCAUUGAUAUGGUUAUAUUUAUAAAUUUACUGUUUACAAAUUUUUGACUUUUUGGAAAUACUAAGGCUUUUCUACCUCAGGCAUAGAUCACCUUAGCUGUAUUUGGCAAAACUUUUAGGAAUUUUGAUUUUCAAUGCUCUUCUACUUCGUACUUUAUUUGGCCUUUUUAACUUUUUUGGAUUCGAAAGUCACUGAUGAGUCUUUUGUAGACGAAACGCGCAUCUGGCGUAUAUACUAAAUUUAGUCCUGGUAUCUGUGAUGAGUUUAUUUACACAAUUUAUAGAGAUUUUUCCAGGCAAGGAAACAGGGCAUUCCUUCUUUU